AGAGCGAACGCUGGCGGCAGGCCUAACACAUGCAAGUCGAGCGCUCCGCAAGGGGAGCGGCAGACGGGAGAGUAACACGUGGGAACGUACCCUUCAGUUCGGAACAACCCAGGGAAACUUGGGCUAAGUACCGAAUACGUCCGUAAGGAGAAAGAUUUAUCGCUGAAGGAUCGGCCCGCGUCUGAUUAGCUUGUUGGUGAGGUAACGGCUCACCAAGGCGACGAUCAGUAGCUGGUCUGAGAGGAUGAUCAGCCUCACUGGGACUGAGACACGGCCCAGACUCCUACGGGAGGCAGCAGUGGGGAAUAUUGGACAAUGGGCGCAAGCCUGAUCCAGCCAUGCCGCGUGGGUGAUGAAGGCCCUAGGGUUGUAAAGCCCUUUCGGCGGGGAAGGAUAAUGACGGUACCCGCAGAAGAAGCCCCGGCUAACUUCGUGCCAGCAGCCGC
rnacentral:rRNA from 1 species